AAGACUUCAAAAAUUAAAAUAACUGCUCCUCUUGAAUAAUUAUGCUUUUCCUCUGCUGAGACAGGAGCCACUGUCUAAACAAAAAUUUUGCAAAAAUUUGACAGGGCUCCCACUUAUCUCUGGUUCUCAAGGAGGAUCGCCUAUUUUAUCAGGUGGCUCAACUAGAUUGGGACUCUCUGCACUUCUGCAAGUAAAUUGAACCGAUACUUAUUAAACUGAACAUUUCCAGGAUAAUUAGGUACGCCUGUGUCUUGGUGUUCAUUUACUAAUGCCUCUCUGUUGUGUCUUGUUUUGUUUCUAGAGUUGUAAUCAAAUAAUAAAUCGUUGCUCUGCAUUGAAAAUUACAGCCAUUCAACUAUUGUGCUGGACAAACUCUACGUUAGUACUAUUCAUUGAAGCACUGAUCUUGUUCCCAGUUCAUCACUCUGAUCAAUCUAGGAACCUCAAAUUGUUCGUCUUUAUUAAAUUCAUCCAUCUGAUUAUUGUGCAUCAAUCUGUAGAAAUUUGUUUGGAACCGCGUUUGCAAGCUGUCAAUGGUUAUUACUUUGAUGAUAUUCUGCACAACUGUUAAAAGAACUGGAACGUCCUGAUAAAACAUCUUAGAAGUGAAAUUUUGCACCAGAAAGUCAUUUAUGCACACCAAGCAGUACUUUUUUUUACUUCUCUUGAAUUAAAUAAUAUUAAAAGCAAUAGGUCCCAAAAAAUUUAAGUAGAAGAAAAUUUAACUGUACAGGAAAAAUCUGGAAAUUCCUUUGUGUAAAUAGCUCUCAUUCAUAGAAAGAUAAUAUUUUAAUUUACUAGCUUUUGAGUAAAUUUUGAUUUCGUUCGUUUUUCCAUUCAUAUUUAUUUUUAUUUAUUUAUUUAUUAUUUUCUUUUGUGAAUAAUUUGUGCGUCCCUCUUUUAGUAUGGUUCUAUCAUCGGGUGCUGACUUGUGAUAAAAUACUAAUUAAUUGUCUUUGUGAGCCCCUUGGACAUUACUAGAAAUGAGAAGUGAUAUUUUCGUGUGAUAUUAACUGUAGCCAAAAAAAAGAAGGUAAUUGUACUUAUGUAGCUUAACCUCCUAGCAAGUGUAAAAAGUAAAUUUUUUUUUUAAAAAAAAAA
rnacentral:lncRNA from 1 species